UAGUAUGUAAUAUUCUUUUAACUGAUACAUUUAUUUUAGAAUACUUUUAGAGUGAUAGAAAAUACACGAGAAAGAAAGGACUUGAGGAAUGGUCACAGCCUAUGGCAAAAAAAAAAAAAAAAAAAAAGACAGCCAUUACAACCAUACAAUGGGAACAUUUCUAUAGCUGACCUCCCCAAGGACACGUGGCCCUGUCUGUUCUCUCUCACAGCACAAACUGAAGACCGGUGAGAGGCUCCUUGCUGCGUGGGCUCACUGCUAUCUCUGCUGCCUCCCUCGCAUGUCCUCAACAAGUCUGUACAGGUAGGCUUCGUUUCUGUUAAGGACUGUGCGCAGGAGUUUUGCUGUUCAUUGGCAAAA
rnacentral:lncRNA from 1 species